GUGUCUGUAGCCUAGUGGUAAAAGGCAGCACUCUAGAUGCUGAGGUUGUGGGUUCAAAUUCCACCAGGCACA
rnacentral:tRNA from 1 species